UACGGAGGGUGCGAGCGUUGUCCGGAAUCACUGGGCGUAAAGGGCGCGUAGGCGGCCUGAUAAGUAGGGGGUGAAAUCCUGCGGCUUAACCGCAGGGCUGCCUUCUAAACUGUCAGGCUUGAGCACAGUAGAGGCAGGUGGAAUUCCCGGUGUAGCGGUGGAAUGCGUAGAGAUCGGGAAGAACAUCAGUGGCGAGGGCGGCCUGCUGGGCUGUUGCUGACGCUGAGGCGCGACAGCGUGGGGAGCAAACAGG
rnacentral:rRNA from 1 species